UCCAGUAGCCAUAUCACCCUGCAACUCACAAGUGGCAGAUCACUGGAGCUCAGCAGGUGUGAGCCUGGUCAGUACCUGGAUGGGAGACUCCUGGGAAAGCUAAGGCUGCUGCUGGAA
rnacentral:rRNA from 1 species